UUAAUAAACAUCAUUGCAUUCCAAAAUAAAAUUUCAUAAAAAUCCCCUUAAUCAAAUUAAGGUCUUAUUUCAUUAUCCAUAAUUCACUUAUUACAAGGUCUCAAUACCACAAACACAAUAAAAAAAAUAAAACACAUUCCACUAAACCGCUGCAGAGGCAUCCUGAAGUCCUCCUUGUCCCACCUGUGGAUCUUCAAGAGUGAUAUCUGCAUUUAAAAAUAUAUAUAUAAAAAAAAGGGUAAACAUUUCCACAUUGCUCAGUAGGGUGCCUAACACUCAAAGGGUUAAUGGGGGAUUUCUAUAUUUCAAUAACCCAAACACAACAGUUUACCAAUAUAAAUCAAGUCACACAAUUUAACAUAUAACAUUAUACUCAAUCCCACAACAUACAAUCAUUAAAUGAAUGCAUAUGAACGUGUGACACACAGUCAUACAAUACACUAUCGUUCUCGGGCUUUCACCGAAGGAUAUGCGUCCGUACCCAAAUAUACUCCCCAUUUGGAGUCUUCUCGAGGUAAACUUUUGGGUCUUUCACCCUAGGGAUCUCUCUCCCUUCUUAGUUCGCCUCACACGGGCUUUCACUUUUCAUCACUAUUUUUUUAUUUUCUCCAUUUCAUACACUUUUCACAAUUUUUUUUUCUUCAUACAACCAUGAUGCAAAUGAAUGCCACAAACUCCAAAAUUCCUCAAUAAUUUCAACAAUUCCAACAUUUUCAAUAACCCAAUAAAAUAAAAUUUUCACAUUAAAAUUCCCGAAUAUAUACCAACGAAUUUUCGGAAAUUCACACAUCAAUAUACUUGAAUUUAUAUCACAAAUUUCAGAAUUUUUCAAUAAUUCUAAUAAUUCCUAAUAUUUGAAAAUAACUAAUUUUUCACAAUAAAAUUACCGCAAAUAUUCCAAUCAAUUUUCAAAAAUUCAUAAAUCACUAGAUUUGAAAUCUUGCCCUAAUUCCAGAAUUUUCCUACAUUUCUAACAAUUUUUAACAACCUAAAAUAGUUAUUUAUCAAUUACAAAGAAUUCCAAAAAUUACAAAAAAAUUCAGAAAAAAUCUCAAAUCAUUCCAAAAAAUUCACACAACAUCACAAUUACCUACUUAACUCAUAAUUAUCAGAUUUAUAAUUUUUUCCAAUGAAAAAUACAUUAAAUUUGAGUUUUAGGGUUAGUUUUCCCCUACCACAAAUUUGAGAAUUUGGCCGUUAAAAACAAAAUCAGCCACCGUAGACUUGUUCCUCUAGUCGAAUAGAGCACUUCCUCCGAAUUUGGGCCGAAAUGGAGGUCGUUUGGCCAUCCAAACGGCCGGUCAAAUCUCCGACGAGAACCCCAAAAUUCCACAGCCGCUGCUCCUUUCUUCUCCCCGCGUUCUGCCCUUUUCAAAAACUCCCUUUUUCCUUUUUUUUUUUUUUUUUUUUUUUUUUUAACAGCCCACUUUUGUAUUCCUACCACUACCGGCCACUAAAGCCCAAAAACAAGGCCCAAAGAUUUUAUUUCCAUCCAUACUUAUGGGCCACUCCCAAAAACUCAUUUGCAUAAAGAAAAUUUUAUUUCUUUUAUUUUUACUUUUCUUUUAUUUAUUCUAAUUGUUUUAUUUGAUUUCCAAUUCUUUUUUUUUUAACACAUAAAUUUAUUUAUUAACACUAAUCUAAAAUUAAUUUUUCUCAAUUUUAUUAUUCAUCAAUUUAAUUUAAUUUUUCUUAAUUAAUUCUAAUUAAUUUUGAAUUAAUUCAUUUUUUUUUCGUUUUUCGUUUCCGAAAAUUUUCAAUUUUUAAAAUCUUAAGAAAUUUUCUACCCUAAGGCUGAUAUGGCAUAAAAUUUCAACUCGUCUAUUUGACCGACACAAUAAAAUGAAAUUUACCAAUCCGAAAUUGACACGUGUUCUUUAAACACUUUUUUUUUUUUUUACUUUUCAACCAUCACAUAAAAUAAGACUUUUCAAACUAAAAAUACUAACGUGUCAUAAAAUAUCCGAUCAUUACAUAUAUUAUUUUUGUAAUAAUAAUUCUGAAUACAGAUAAGAAAGGAAUAGUUCAUAUGAUAUUUAUUGAAGUGUGGCGGUUACCCUGAAGUGAGUAAAAGGUUUUUAUCUCUCGACCAAAAGAUCAUUUUUGUGGUGAUAAUUCUAAAUUACCAUAAGACGGUGACAGUCUAUAUGGCAUUUAGUGAUGUGAGGUCGAUAUCCGAAAGAGACAACAGUUCUUUUCUCUCAGGCAGAGAGCGAUGCCAUUUCUAAACGGGGGCCAAUUAGUUAAAGCAACUGGAAAUUAUAUAUAUAUAUAUAUAUAUAUAUAUAUAUAUAUAUAUAUAUAUAUAUAUAACAAUCUAAAAAAAUUAAUUAUGCCACUCAGAGAACAACCGCAAGUGAUCAAUCCGAUAAAUUUUAGCUAAAUCCUACCGACACGUGUUUCCUCUUUUCGAUUUAAGAUACAUGUAGUAAGAAGGCCCACGAGACGCUUAAAAUUGGAUUGUUAUGCAUUUGAGGCCAUCUCCCUAUAAGAAAAAGACUGAGAGGUGUAAGGUGAGAGACAACCCUAACCAUUUUGGCGAGGCACAAUGGCGGUAGAGAGAGUGCAAACCAUCGCAUUUUCAUCCAUCUUGGUGGACACCAUCCCACCCGAGUUCAUUAGAUCUGAAAAAGAACAACCUGCUCUCACAACCUGUCUUGGGUGUAUCCCUCAAGUCCCCACCAUUGAUUUCAGCGACCCAGAUGAAGGCAACCUCACAAGAUUGAUUGCGGAGGCUAGCAGCGAGUGGGCGAUGUUCCAGAUUGUGAAUCAUGGCAUUCCUAGUGAGGUUAUUACCAAUUUGCAGAAGGCUGGCAAGGAGUUCUUUGAGCUCCCACAAGAGGAAAAGGAACUUUACGCCAAGCCUCCUGAUUCCAAGUCCAUUGAAGGCUAUGGAAGCAAGCUGCAAAAAGAAGUGGAGGGCAAGAAAGCUUGGGUUGAUCACUUGUUCCAUAACAUCUGGCCCCCUUCUGCUAUCAACUAUCAGUACUGGCCUAAAAACCCACCUUCGUACAGGUUUGAAAUACCGUCAUUAUUUUACCUGCAUUAUGCUAGCUCUUUUCUUGGCAUUUACCUUUUCUUUUACACACUGCUUCAUCCUCAUCUUCAUGUGACAUGCACCUCAAAAGCUGAACACUUUGUAUUUUUUCUUUUAUCAUUUUGUUGGGAAGGGAGGGACAAAGAGAGAGUGAGAUGUUUUUACUUUCUUUUUUUUCCUUCUAAGAACCACCUAAUCUCGUUUGGACAAUACAAACGAAAAGCUUAAUGAAAAUAAAUAUAUUUUUGUAAUCAAUUUUUUUUUCAAUAAUCACGUUUUUGUAUUUUUAAACAUAAUCUUUCUAAAUAUCACAUUUUCUGUAAGCCGAGCGAAUAUAUUCUCGAAAAUUCAAAAUAUUGGUCAUAAUUGAAAAAUAAAUUUAAAAGUUACUUUUGAAAAAAUUGGUCUGAAUGAGUAAGAUAAUUUUUAUUUUUUAGUGUUUGGACUGACGAAGCCAGCUUGCCCCCAUGAAACCAAUUUUUUCUGGCUCCGCCAAUGGACAAGUCUACUAAAAAACAGAUAAGACCUGAAUCAUAUUGAAUGUAUUUAUGGAGUUUUAUUUUAUCAAUCAUUUCCCUCUUGAAUAAUCUCAGGGCUGUGAAUGAAGAGUACUGCAAGUGGGUACAACCAGUGGGACAUAGGUUACUCAGUUUGCUGUCAUUAGGGUUAGGACUGGAAAAAAAUGAGCUCAAAGAGAACGUGGGUGGUGAUGAAUUGAAGUACCUUUUGAAGAUCAAUUAUUACCCACCAUGUCCUCGUCCAGACCUGGCUCUCGGGGUGGUUGCCCACACCGACAUGUCCUCCAUUACCAUUCUCGUUCCCAACGAAGUUCAGGGCCUGCAGGUCUUUAGAGAUGAUCAUUGGUUUGAUGUCAAGUACAUCCCUGAUGCCCUUGUCAUUCAUAUUGGUGACCAGUUGGAGGUUCGUCUUUCUUUCUUUCCUUCUCACACAAUUUCUUAAUCAUUUUUUCCCUUCAAAAUUAGCUAGGGUUUGUUGUAUACAUCAUGUUUCAAAAUCUUCCCAUCAUCAUAUCACGCCAGUUUGACGUUAUUUACAUUCUAACUUCAUUAUAAGACCAGGGGCUUCGUAUACAAUUAAGAUAGAAGCAUUAAAGAAUUAAAUAACGUUGUUUUGCAGAUUUUGAGCAAUGGCAAGUACAAGAGUGUGCUUCACAGAACAACUGUGACCAAGGAGAUAACCAGAAUGUCGUGGCCUGUGUUCUUGGAGCCGCCAUCGGAGUUGGCCAUCGGUCCUCUUCCAAAGCUCAUUAAUGAAAAGAAUCCACCAAAAUAUCAGAAGAAGAAGUACUGUGAUUAUGUCUAUUGCAAGCUUAACAAAAUUGCCCAGUAAAUUAAGGACGCACCUUUCUUUGAUCUUUUGUAGUAUGUCUUUUUCAGCGUCCACUUCUGCAUGUCGGGAAGUUGAAUACUUUAUAUGUGACGGUUCUAUUUAUUAGAAAAAUGUGAUUCUUUUGCCGCUUGUCGAUUUGAGAUCUUCAGAUCGAACUCUUCAAACUCUCAAUUGAGAACUCCAAAAGAGAAUCAGAGAUUUAUUUAGAGAUUAAAUCAAGAUCAUAAAUUUCACAAAAGUCAGUCAUAUUUGCAUGUUUACUAUCUCCACCAUCAUAGAAGCUUUAAGUAAAGAUGACGAAGAACAUCUAAUUCCAUUAAUUACAGUGGGCCUGCUCUCCUGUUUCCGAUUUGAGGUCAAGGGUAAUUAGUUGGUUGGCUGGCUAGCUUUGAAGUCAAAACUGAGGUAUGGCCGUACGGCUAGGUAUCUAAGAAUUAAAAAAUCUUGGAAUUGAAAAAAUGGGUCACCAAUUUAAUAAUGGAUGGGUCCCCCUCCCCUAUCGCCCAUGCCUUCAAUACUUAAAAUCAAACAUAUAUGUAUAUAAAAGACCUUUGAUUUGGAUGAUGAUGCAUAUGCAGGAUUAUUGGUUUGAAUAAUGUGGCUCGAUAUUCAAAGGUAGAACAAAGUAUUGCCGCUAUUGCCUGGGUACAGACUGUGCAGUCGCCAUGAUAAGGUUGGUACAUGCUUUUAAGCGGAUCAGAUUUUACUGCGUCAACCUCACAUUGCUUCAGGCGGUUUUGUUCCGUGGAAUAAAUUCCAAUCAUCUCAUGGCCUUUUUUUAGUUAAUUCUGUCUCAAAAACUUUAUGAGACCAAGAUUGAUGUCACGAAAUCUUUAAUUCCUUAUUAUAAUUGGUCCACUGAGACAGCAGUUGAACGUGGAUCCUCCUUAUUGGACCAAUUCACAGUUGUCAUUCAGCAUUGAUCGUCCUCGUUCUACCAUGUAAAUUAUAAAUUAAACUCUCCAUGAUACGUGUAAAAAAGGGUGCCUCCACGUAUAUUACAUUUGUAAAUAAUCAAAGGGGGCGAGGCCAUUUGAUUUGUUGACAUUCAAAAUUGUGGAUAAAUUGUGGGUAUUCGGUUUGACCUCUUCUGGGAAUUGAGUGCUUGUGGGAUGUGAUCCAUGAUCCAUCCACAUUGUGACGAAGAUAGUAAUGGUAUUCCACAUCAGUCCUAAUUACUAAUUAGUGUGCUGCGACUCUCUCUAUAAAAGGGGGUUGGGGGAUAGGAGAGAGUUGCAUCCGUGCAUAUGUCCUGCUAUUCAAAGCAACAGCUACCAGUUGAGACUUAGCCAUUUUUGUAGAACCGCCAACGGACAUAGAGAGAGUGCAAGCCAUUGCCUUUUCGUCCUUAUCGGAGGGCACCAUCCCACCCGAGUUCAUUAGAUCUGAAAAAGAAGAGCCUGCUAUCACAACCUUCCAUGGCUAUGUCCCUCAAGUUCCCACCAUUGAUUUCAGCGACCCAGAUGAGGCCAACCUCACAAGAUUGAUUGCGG
rnacentral:lncRNA from 1 species